CUUGCCAGCUAUUGGGCUGAGGAAGGCUGGCUUAGUUUUGAAUCUGCUUUUGAAGAUGGACUCUCUCAUCCAUUUCCCUCCCCCUUUUUUCUUUCAGACUGUGGCCUCACCUCGGCGUCCUACCAGCAAGGGGUCCUGUCUGCCACCAUCCUCUAUGAGAUCCUGCUGGGGAAGGCCACCCUCUAUGCUGUGCUGGUCAGCGCCCUGGUGCUGAUGGCCAUGGUUAAGAAAAAGGAUUCCUGAGACCAGCUCCAAAAGUGCAUCCUGAGUCAUUCUUCAUCCUCUCCUUGGAUGUUCCUUAACAUGUUUCCAGUCUGUGUUCCUCAAGAGUUUCUCUCUCUCCACCUUUUAUCUCCUUCCUACAUGGAUAUCUGUCCCUUCUCUCAGCUUCCCUGCAGACUGAGCUCCUCCCCACUGAACCUGAAAUUGAUUAAAGUAAUAAAAGUGUCAUGGUGGGCUUGACUGUG